rnacentral:rRNA from 3 species
AGACCCGAAACCCGGUGAUCUAGCCAUGGGCAGGUUGAAGGUUGGGUAACACUAACUGGAGGACCGAACCGACUAAUGUUGAAAAAUUAGCGGAUGACCUGUGGCUGGGGGUGAAAGGCCAAUCAAACCGGGAGAUAGCUGGUUCUCCCCGAAAGCUAUUUAGGUAGCGCCUCGUGAAUUCAUCUCCGGGGGUAGAGCACUGUUUCGGCUAGGGGGCCAUCCCGGCUUACCAACCCGAUGCAAACUGCGAAUACCGGAGAAUGUUAUCACGGGAGACACACGGCGGGUGCUAACGUCCGUCGUGAAGAGGGAAACAACCCAGACCGCCAGCUAAGGUCCCAAAGUCAUGGUUAAGUGGGAAACGAUGUGGGAAGGCCCAGACAGCCAGGAUGUUGGCUUAGAAGCAGCCAUCAUUUAAAGAAAGCGUAAUAGCUCACUGGUCGAGUCGGCCUGCGCGGAAGAUGUAACGGGGCUAAACCAUGCACCGAAGCUGCGGCAGCGAACGUAUCACCCAAGACAACUUUACGGAGUUGACGAUUGACGGAGCGAAGCGACGUCAAAGCGUUCAUUAAAGUCGAGUUGGCUUAGGGAUACGUUCGUUGGGUAGGGGAGCGUUCUGUAAGCCUGUGAAGGUGUGUCGUGAGGCAUGCUGGAGGUAUCAGAAGUGCGAAUGCUGACAUAAG